AAUCGAACCCGGAGAUAGCUGGUUCUCCUCGAAAUAGCUUUAGGGCUAGCCUCGAUACAGAUUUGCGGAGGUAGAGCACUGAAUUUCCUAGGGGGCGUCAAAGCCUACCGAAGAAUAUCAAACUCCGAAUGCCGCGUAAUCGAUUAUCGGGAGUCAGACUGCACGAGAUAAGUUGGGCGGUCAAAAGGGAAAGAGCCCAGACCUUCAGUUAAGGUCCCCAAGUGCGCGUUAAGUGGAAAAGGAUGUGGGAUUUCGAAGACAACCAGGAUGUUGGCUCAGAAGCAGCCAUCCAUUCAAAGAGUGCGUAAUAGCUCACUGGUCGAGAGGUCCUGCGCCGAAAAUGUCCGGGGCUGAAACGCGCCACCGAAACUAAGGAACCGAAAGGUUGGUAGAGGAGCAUUGCAUGCGGAACGAAGCAGUACCGUAAGGAGCUGUGGACUGCAUGGAAGAGAGAAUGCCGGAAUGAGUAGCGAGAAUAAGGUGAGAAUCCUUAUGGCCGAAUAUCCAAGGUUUCCAGAGUAAAGCUGAUCUGCUCUGGGUAAGUCGGGGCCUAAGGCGAGGACGAGAGUCGUAGCCGAUGGACAACAGGUGGAGAUUCCUGUACUGCGGUAUGACAGAACUGUGGGGACACGUAAGGAAAGCGGAAGCCGGGAAUGGAAAGCCCGGUGCAAGCGGGGUACCAGUCACUUUGGCAAAUCCGGGUGGCAAUGGGAAGCCGUGAUGCGGAGCGAAAUAAAGUAGCGAAGUCCGUGAGCCAUGCGUCAAGAAAAGCCGCUAUUGUUUGUACCGUACCCGUACCGUAAACCGACACAGGUGGAUGAGGAGAGAAUCCUAAGGCCGGCGGAAGAAGCAUUGUCAAGGAACUCGGCAAAAUGGCCCCGUAACUUAGGGAUAAGGGGUGCCUGGGAAACCAGGCCGCAGAGAAUAGGCUCAAGCAACUGUUUAGCAAAAACACAGGUCUAUGCGAAACCGAAAGGUGAGGUAUAUGGGCUGACGCCUGCCCGGUGCUGGAAGGUUAAGAGGAGAGGUUAGCGCAAGCGAAGCUUUGAAUUUAAGCCCCAGUAAACGGCGGCCGUAACUAUAACGGUCCUAAGGUAGCGAAAUUCCUUGUCGGGUAAGUUCCGACCCGCACGAAAGGCGUAAUGAUUUGAGCGCUGUCUCGACAAUGCAUCCGGUGAAAUUGAAGUACCAGUGAAGAUGCUGGUUACCUGCGCCAGGACGGAAAGACCCCAUGGAGCUUUACUCCAGUCUGGUACUGGGACUCGGUAUUGCAUGUACAGGAUAGGUGGGAGGCUAGGAGAUGGUAACGCCAGUUGCCAUGGAGCCGCUGUUGGGAUACCACCCUUGCAGUAUUGGGUUUCUAACCAGCCGCCGUGACCCGGCGGUGGGACAAUGCCAGACGGGGAGUUUGACUGGGGCGGUCGCCUCCGAAAGGGUAUCGGAGGCGCCCAAAGGUUCCCUCAGAAUGGACGGAAACCAUUCGAAGAGUGCAAAGGCAGAAGGGAGCUUGACUGCGACACCGACGGGUGGAGCAGGUACGAAAGUAGGACUUAGUGAUCCGGUGGUAUGAAAGUGGGAUUGCCAUCGCUCAACGGAUAAAAGCUACCCUGGGGAUAACAGGCUUAUCACUCCCAAGAGUUCACAUCGACGGAGUGGUUUGGCACCUCGAUGUCGGCUCAUCGCAUCCUGGGGCUGUAGUAGGUCCCAAGGGUUGGGCUGUUCGCCCAUUAAAGCGGUACGCGAGCUGGGUUCAGAACGUCGUGAGACAGUUCGGUCCCUAUCCGGCGUGGGCGUAGGAUAUCUGAGAGGAGCUGUCCUUAGUACGAGAGGACCGGGAUGGACGGGCCGCUGGUGCAUCGGUUAGACUGCCAAGUCUACGGCCGAGUAGCCAAGCCCGGAAGGGAUAAACGCUGAAGGCAUCUAAGCGUGAAGCCCCCCUUAAGAUGAGAUAUCCCAUUCGAAAGAAGUAAACCCCCUUGA
rnacentral:rRNA from 1 species